rnacentral:rRNA from 1 species
GACGAACGCUGGCGGCGUGCUUAACACAUGCAAGUCGAACGGAAAGGCCCUGCUUUUGUGGGGUGCUCGAGUGGCGAACGGGUGAGUAACACGUGAGUAACCUGCCCUUGACUUUGGGAUAACUUCAGGAAACUGGGGCUAAUACCGGAUAGGAGCUCCUGCUGCAUGGUGGGGGUUGGAAAGUUUCGGCGGUUGGGGAUGGACUCGCGGCUUAUCAGCUUGUUGGUGGGGUAGUGGCUUACCAAGGCUUUGACGGGUAGCCGGCCUGAGAGGGUGACCGGCCACAUUGGGACUGAGAUACGGCCCAGACUCCUACGGGAGGCAGCAGUGGGGAAUACUGCACAAUGGGCGGAAGCCUGAUGCAGCAACGCCGCGUGCGGGAUGACGGCCUUCGGGUUGUAAACCGCUUUCGCCUGUGACGAAGCGUGAGUGGCGGUAAUGGGUAAAGAAGCACCGGCUAACUACGUG